UAUAUGAAGUUUGAGAUGAACAUAUAAGUUUCUUAAUCUAAUUCAACAGUGCUAAAGCUUUAGGAGACUUAAAUAACCAUUCCCAGACAAACCAGGUUCUCCGAUGGUCAAGGGCAAAUCAACGGGCAAAAUGGGCCUAUAAAAAAAUGAAAGGUGUUAAACUGUUUAUGUUUACAAAGAUAAUUGGGUUUUUAUCAAUUUUUUUUAAUUAACUAUCAUUUCAAUGCAUUGGCAGUCUCCCUCUGGGCUUGAAUCCUAGAAUCCAACGUUUUUGCCAUUCAACUAUUUAACUAUUACCAAAGUGCCAUUACGACUUUGACCAAAAACAUUCAAUCACUAAAUGAAUAUAAAAAAACAAAUUUCCCAUACAUUAAUUACUUAAAGCGUGAAGUUUCAGCAAUUCGCGAUAUAUUUCAUU